rnacentral:rRNA from 1 species
GACGAACGCUGGCGGCGUGCUUAACACAUGCAAGUCGAGCGGAAAGGCCCUUCGGGGUACUCGAGCGGCGUACGGGUGGGUAACACGUGAGUAAUCUGCCCUUGGCUUUGGGAUAACUACCGGACACGGUGGCUAAUAACCGAUACGCCAACCGUCUUCAUGGGCUGGUUGUGGAAAGGUUUUUCGGCCUGGGGUGUGCUCGCGGCCUUGCAGCUUGUUGGUAGGGUAAUGUCAUACCAAGGAUUCGACAGGUAGCCGGCCUGAGAGGGGGACCGGCCACGCUGGGACUGAGACACGGACGAGACGCCUACGUGAGGAAGCAGUGGGGAAGAUUGGACAAUGGGCGGAAGACUGCUCCAGCAACGACGCGUGAGGGAGGACGGCAUUCGGGUUGUAAACCUCUAUCAGUACCGACGAAGCGCCGAUGAUGGUGGUGACGGUAGGUACAGAAGAAGCACCGGCUAACUACGUG